CCUACGGGAGGCAGCAGUGAGGAAUAUUGGUCAAUGGACGAGAGUCUGAACCAGCCACGUAGCGUGAAGGAUGACUGCCCUAUGGGUUGUAAACUUCUUUUAUAAGGGAAUAAAACGAGGCACGUGUGCCUUUUUGCAUGUACUUUAUGAAUAAGGAUCGGCUAACUCCGUGCCCGCAGCCGCGGUAAUACGGAGGAUCCGAGCGUUAUCCGGAUUUAUUGGGUUUAAAGGGAGCGUAGAUGGGUUGUUAAGUCAGUUGUGAAAAUUUGCGGCUCAACCGUAAAAUUGCAAUUGAUACUGGCAGUCUUGAGUACAGGUGAGGUAGGCGGAAUUCGUGGUGUAGCGGUGAAAUGCUUAGAUAUCACGAAGAACCCCGAUUGCGAAGGCAGCUUACUAACCUGUGACUGACAUUGAUGCGCGAAAGUGUGGGUAUCAAACAGGAUUAGAUACCCGAGUAGUC
rnacentral:rRNA from 1 species